CUGGCAACACUGGCCGGGUGACUUGUCAAAAAACAGCUGUGUAAUUUAAAAUUGAAAUAAAAUAGAAAAAUAGGCAAAAUAGCCCUUAAAAGUAAUUAAUAUAGUAGUAGUGGUCAUAAAUAUAGUGUACAAAUGUUUGUGGCGUCAUUGUAGAAAGAUAACUGAUAAGAAUCUUCAUCACACGGAGGCGGUCAGCUGUCAACCGCUCAAUUCAAAUUAAUUGGAUUUUAACGGGAAGUAUCGUUCUAUUAUAUUUGUGUCACACUUUACUGCAUUAGUUCCACAACUGCAGAUUGUAUUAUUUACAUUACAUAUCAGUUUUACGUCAAAAACAAAGUCAGCCUUGUAACCUACCCUAACAUUGCAAUAAAAAUAAAAAGCGAGUAAAAACCAAAGAUAACUUUCUCCUGAUUGCUUAAACAAUUAAAUCAAUAUAUUAUCGGGUAAAUUACAUGUUCCUUUAACAGUUAAUAAAGUUAAAUUAGGUACACAUUUAAUAAGCAUCACGUGUACAGAAUAAAUAAAUAUAUCUUUUAAUAUCUCUUCAUUUCAAUUUCGUGCAUAAUUCUUUAUCAAUCAUAUGCUGUUCUUUGCUGUGUAAUCUUAAAGCUACGGAAUGCAUACUUGAAACUAUCAGUCAUCUAGUGUACUUAACCUGCUAUUCUUUUCUGUCUUUCUGAUCUUGGUUACUUCACGCUUUCAGUAAAUACCUGACACCAUGUCCAUUAAGACACGAAAGGCUACUGUCAAAGACAUGGAGGUAAAACUGAAGGACACCCUGGAAGAGCUGAAAACAUCUAAGGAGCUCUGUGAUCAGCUGUUGAGGGAACGUGAUGAGAGCGAGGAAGAAAUACAGAACAUAAUAAAUAAAAACUCAGGAUUGAAGUCUCAACUUGCCGAGUUACACAUUCAAUAUAUGGAUAUUCUGGAUCAGCGGGAUAGGUUACAGAUACACGCAGAUGGCAGCUCUGAAGUGGACAACAAGUGUUUUUUAUAUAUAUUUUUUUGUGACUAUAAUUUGAAAAGAUAUUGAAUUAUAUAAUUGUAAUUUAAUUAUAUUUAAUUGUAAUAGACAGCUGUGUUGCUGGGAAGUUUGUUCUUCACCACUUCUUCUUCCCAGCCAUAACACUAGGAAGUGGUGAAAGGGGGGCGUUUUGGGGGUGCUGUCCUUAUGUAUUACUUGACGUGAAAAAGUGCUAGAAACUAGCCUAUUUUCAAUAAACGUUUUUGACUUUGA